rnacentral:snRNA from 1 species
AUACCAUGGCGUGUUUUAAGCUC